rnacentral:rRNA from 1 species
UACGAAGGGGGCUAGCGUUGUUCGGAGUUACUGGGCGUAAAGGGCGCGUAGGCGGCGCACCAAGUCAGGCGUGAAAGCCCUGGGCUCAACCCGGGAAUUGCGCUUGAGACUGGUGUGCUUGAGUACGGGAGAGGAUAGUGGAAUUCCCAGUGUAGAGGUGAAAUUCGUAGAUAUUGGGAAGAACACCAGUGGCGAAGGCGACUUACUGGACACGUAUUGACGCUGAGGUGGCGAAAGCGUGGGGAGCAAACAGG